rnacentral:rRNA from 1 species
CUGGCUCGAGGACGAACGCUGGCGGCGUGCCUAAUACAUGCAAGUCGAACGGUCUUUCUAUGGAAGCUUGCUUCCACUGAGAAGAUAGUGGCGAACGGGUGAGUAACACGUGGGGUAACCUGCCCAUAAGAGGGGGGAUAACAUCCGGAAACGGGUGCUAAUACCGCAUAGUUUUCUUGAUCGCAUGAUCGGGAAAGGAAAGACGGCCUUUGUGCUGUCGCUUAUGGAUGGACCCGCGGCGUAUUAGUUAGUUGGUGAGGUAACGGCUCACCAAGACGAUGAUACGUAGCCGACCUGAGAGGGUGAUCGGCCACAUUGGGACUGAGACACGGCCCAAACUCCUACGGGAGGCAGCAGUAGGGAAUCUUCCGCAAUGGACGAAAGUCUGACGGAGCAACGCCGCGUGAGUGAAGAAAAGGUUUUCGGAUCGUAAAACUCUGUUGUCAGAGAAGAACAAGUUGGAGAGUAACUGCUCCAGCCUUGACGGUAUCUGACCAGAAAGCCACGGCUAACUACGUGCCAGCCGCCGC